CUCAUGGAGUAGUUGUGCAACAGGUCUGGCGUUCUGGGAAAAGUUCUGAUACUUUGUGGUAAACGUCUGAUCAUCCUCUGUUGGUGCUGCACUGCUGCUCUGGCGUUUCCUCUCUAUGGAAGGACGGCAGUGACAAGAACCUUCCAGUUCACACACACACACGCCCCCGCCCCUGCAGGAUGAUGAGAGUACUGCAGCGCCUCUGACUAUAAAAUCUAUUGAAUUAUAUACUUCUCACAAGAAGUUAGGGCUAUUUCAGAUACAUUUCGGCUCUAUCCGGCUGCUGCUGGAUAGACAUGCUGGGGUGGAGUCUGGAAUCGACUGCUUGUAUAGGAUUGCCAAUAUCAGAGAUUUU